GCUGAAGUUAACGUCUCCAUGGGCCUCUUUUCCACUCCGUCGCUUCGCCGCCUCCGCCACCUACCACUCUCCGUCUCACAACACCACCAGAACCAGCUCCACUUCUCCCAUCUCUCUCCCUUUCCCUCUCCCUCUCCAUACAAGGUAGAUUGUGUUGUUUAAGAAGAGCUCUAAUUCGAGUGGUUUUCUGAUUCUUGAUUAACCGUUAGCGAGUCUUUGUUAGGUGAUUACUACUGUAUUCUUCUGGGUUUAUCAUCUGAAAAGCAUACCUACAUUUAUUUGUCGACUUCUCUUAGCUGGUCAGGGAAAUGGCGGGUUGUCCAUCGAGUUUCGGAUUAUCAAACGCUCUGAAUGUUCAAGACGAGGUCUGUAUGAGGAGUUGGAAGCCGAUGCUCCACAAUUAUGUUGGGUUCAAAACAUUGGUGAGGGAGGUAACUUUCCAUGCUUGGGUUAGACAUGUCUCUGUUAAGAACCAGAGGUUUCUGGUCUGGAAUUCGCAGACAUUAUCUGAACAGCAAUCGGGUGUAGGCAAACCCAUGGUAGUUGAAAAUGAAGGCGUGGAGAGUGUAGUAGGGAAA
rnacentral:misc_RNA from 1 species